rnacentral:rRNA from 1 species
UAGUCCACGCCGUAAACGAUGUCUACUAGCCGUUGGGACUCUUGAAGUCUUAGUGGCGCAGCUAACGCACUAAGUAGACCGCCUGGGGAGUACGGCCGCAAGGUUAAAACUCAAAUGAAUUGACGGGGGCCCGCACAAGCGGUGGAGCAUGUGGUUUAAUUCGACGCAACGCGAAGAACCUUACCUGGCCUUGACAUGCAGAGAACUUUCCAGAGAUGGAUUGGUGCCUUCGGGAACUCUGACACAGGUGCUGCAUGGCCGUCGUCAGCUCGUGUCGUGAGAUGUUGGGUUAAGUCCCGUAACGAGCGCAACCCCUAUCCCUAGUUGCUAGCAGUUCGGCUGAGAACUCUAGGGAGACUGCCGGUGACAAACCGGAGGAAGGUGGGGAUGACGUCAGGUCAUCAUGGCCCUUACGGCCAGGGCUACACACGUGCUACAAUGGGCAAGACAAUAAGUUGCAAACCUGUGAAGGUUAGCUAAUCUAUAAACUUGUUCUAAGUUCGGA